AGAGAACCACAGAGUUGGGUGCCCAAAAGAGGCAGCAGCCUGUUCUCCCUGGGGAAGAACUCUCGCAUGGCGCCUUGCUCUGGACCCUCAUCCAUUAGCCAUGCCAAGAUUCAAGGAAGAAAGUUACCAUCCAGCAGCUGGCAGAUGAACUGGGGGCUCACAUAGGAAAUGACUAGCCUAAGAUGGCAGAGCAAGAACUGGAUCCUGGAUUGGAAUGCAUUGAGCAUGUGGCUCUAUCCUGAGGGUGGAGGUCUAGGGGGCCGGGAGAACUUGACAAUGGAUUUAGUCCACCUGGAAUCAGGCUCAAUCUUCAGAUGCCUCAGCCCUCCCCGAGCCCUGACCACAAGCCAAAUGGCGCUGGACCACAGUAUCAGGGUUCUCCAGCGACUCCAUCCUCCAGGGAGGAAGAGGUGGUGAAUUUCCGAGCUGGGACAGAACCCAGAGUGGCUGGAGCAGGCCAGCACCUCGCCUCAUAUACUUGGAGCCUGGAGACAUCAGGCAGCAAAUGAGAAGCAUUUUAAGGUUCUCUGACUAUUUUCUUUUUUAAUUAAUUAAUUAGUUCAUUAAUUUUUUAAUUUAAAAAUUUUUCUUACCUCUGGUUCAAGUUCUCAUGACCGAUUCCUUAAGGUUGCAACACAUGAACAUGCCUUUCCUCCAAGAAAAUUUAGAGAAUUCAGAUUAGUAAAAAGAAGAAAAUAAAAGUCUUCCAUAAACUUAUAAUCUGAGGAUAAUGUCUUUUAAUGCUUUUUCCUUCCUGUCUUUUUUCUAUGAGCAGAUAUACAUACAGGCUUUAAAAAUAUACCUUGAAAAUAGAAGCAUUCUCUAUGUGAAGUGCUUAGCAUAUUACCUAGCACAUAGUGAGUACUCAGUAAACCUUUACUGUUACUAUUAUUAUUUCUAUUUUAUAGCCUGAUUUUUCUCUCUUAAAUGGAAUUUCAGCUCCAUGAGAAUUAGAACCUUGUAAGCCUCAUUAACCUCUGUUAGUCUAGCGCUUAGCACAUAAUAGGUGCUCAAUAAACAUUUUUAAAUAGAUGAAAGAAUAAACAUUUUUCUUUCUCAUUAGAU
rnacentral:lncRNA from 10 species